UCCCGCUUAGCUCAGUUGGUAGAGCGCGUCACUAGUAUGUAAUGACGAGGUCAGUCGUUCAAGUCGGCUAGCGGGAA